CCCGGGAAGUCACGUGAGCGCUCCGGCGCCCCAGGCACCCCACAAGCCUCCCUCAGAGGGGCAGCCCGGGGGUGAGCUCUGAGGUCGUGGGGAUGCACCUCUUGGGCUUCCUAAGGAGACUCCCUUCGGUCCCCGUGGUUUGGAAGUGGACGCCUCACCUGGCCCCUCCAGAGCCUUCGAGCCCCAGCCCAGGACAGUGCCUGCACCCGGAGAUGAGACACCCUCCCCCCGCCGGUGAGAAGCGAAACUCGCAGGAGCUGGCGACGGCCACGUUGUCCUGGAAUAACUCAAUCCAGAGGGCAGCAGAGGAGGAGCCGGAAAUGGUCCACCCUGUGCUUUGCCACAGAGACCAAUACAUUUCAUUUUCUCUGAA